UUACCAGGUCUGACAUCCCUGACAACCAAGAGAUUGGCGUCCCGUCGGGGACAGGGUGACAGGUGGUGCAUGGUUGUCGUCAGCUCGUGUCGUGAGAUGUUGGGUUAAGUCCCGCAACGAGCGCAACCCUCGCCUCUAGUUGCCAGCAUUCGGUUGGGCACUCUAGAGGGACUGCCGGCGACAAGUCGGAGGAAGUGGGAUGACGUCAAAUCAUCAUGCCCCUUAUGACCUGGGCUACACACGUGCUACAAUGGGCGGUACAAAGGGCUGCGAACCCGCGAGGGGGAGCGAAUCCCAAAAAGCCGCUCUCAGUUCGGAUUGCAGGCUGCAACUCGCCUGCAUGAAGUCGGAAUCGCUAGUAAUCGCGGAUCAGCUACGCCGCGGUGAAUACGUUCUCGGGCCUU
rnacentral:rRNA from 1 species